rnacentral:rRNA from 1 species
CAAUAGCGUAUAUUAAAGUUGUUGCAGUUAAAAAGCUCGUAGUUGGAUUUCUGGUAGGAGUGACCGUUCCGAACUUGAUUGUUCGUGUAUUGUGUUUUCUCCAGCCAUCCUUGUGGAGAACUUUUCUUGCAUUAAUUUGUAGGGAUUGGGACCCGCAUCGUUUACUGUGAAAAAAUUAGAGUGUUUAAAGCAGGCAAUCGCUUGAAUACAUUAGCAUGGAAUAAUAAGAUAGGACUUUGGUACUAUUUUGUUGGUUUGCAUACCAAAUUAAUGAUCAACAGGAACAGUUUGAGGAUAUUCGUAUGAACAUGUCAGAGGUGAAAUUCUUGGAUUUUGAUCAGACGAACUACUGCGAAAGCAUUUAUCAAGGAUGUUUNCAUUAG